GGUUCAGCCCCUUUGAUUCGGUUCAGCCCCUUUGAUUCGCCUUCAGCCCUUUUGAUUCGGUUCAGCCCCUUUGAUUCGGUUCAGCCCCUUUGAUUCGGUUCAGCCCCUUUGAUUCGGCUUCAGCCCCUUUGAUUCGGUUCAGCCCCUUUGAUUCGGUUCAGCCCCUUUGAUUCGGCUUCACCCCGGUGUCUUUCUGUCCUCAGUUUCAUCCCUUUCUCAUAUUUUACUCACUGGCACACAACAACACAAGAUGACUUAGAAAGCCUAGCUGGCCGUGGACCAUUGCUCUUUGGAAACUCGUAGGAUUGGGAUUAUUAUGCUGAAGGUCCUGAUUUACAGGGUAUCCAAUAAGGACUUGGAGAUAUAUUUCCACCACAGUCUACCACAUCACCCUUUAGCCUAUAUCCAUACAUCCUGUUUGAAAUGCUCUCCGAGACUAAGCCCUGCAUGUAUUCUUCUUGAGCCCAGUCAACAGUGGCCAUGUGUGUGGGUAAAUAUUUAUUGGCAGUUAUCUGCUCUGCUGUGGAUUAAAAGCUUACAAAGGUACAUUACUUUCAAAGUGGAACUCGCUCUCCUUCACGUUCCUUUGUUGCCAGAGAGCACAGUACAGUACAGUAGGUAAUCGUAUUCACAAGUUCUCAGUAAAGUCAACCUACCGUUCUUUUUCACUUCCCUACAGAAAAUUAUUCACACACUAUUGCCUAUAAUGUAUUGUUUUACAAGGAUGUUAUUUCUCAUUGAUAAACAGAUCAUGUAGAAUGUCAGAUUUUUCCUUCAAAGGUCAAUAAACAGUGUGAUUAAAUAAGAGGUCAUUGUGUUCAGAAAAAAGCUCAGUGUGGUCAUAUAGGAGGUCAGUGUGGUCAUAGAAGUGGUCAGUGUGGUCAUAUAGGAGGUCAGUGUGGUCGAAGAAGAGGUCAGUGUGGUCAUAUAGGAGGUCAGUGUGGUCAUAUUAGAGGUCAGUGUGGUCAGAGAAGAGGUCAGUGUGGUCAUAUAGGAGGUCAGUGUGGUCAUAUAGGAGGUCAGUGUGGUCAUAUUGGAGGUCAGUGUGGUCAGAGAAGAGGUCAGUGCGGUCCUCUAAGAAAAAAACUGACAAUAACACUGAUUUAUCACCUAAACUCAAUUUAAGUAAUUCAGCAGACACUCAUAUCUAGAUGAGUGAGACAUGAUGAGACCUUAUCACAUUAAUCUCUAAGAGAAGCUUCUGAUGAUCCUGAUAGACAACGGGCAUUUGGUUUUGGAGGGCAAACAGAGUGGGGGUAGUGUGGGAAAACAUCUGACAGGGAAACAUCUCUGUCGAAGCACACAGUCUAUAUCAGAGAUAAUCUGAAACAGAAAUACUCCCUCCCCUAGAAUCCGCUCUAUCUCUCUCCUACACACACACACACACACAACCCCCCCCCUCCCCCC
ensembl:lncRNA